UAUGUACAUAUGUAUGUACAUAUAUAUAUGUACAUAUGUAUGUACAUAUGUAUGUACAUAUAUAUAUGUACAUAUGUAUGUACAUAUAUAUAUAUGUACAUAUAUAUAUGUACAUAUGUAUGUACAUA
rnacentral:miRNA from 1 species